UACGUAGGGUGCAAGCGUUGUCCGGAAUUAUUGGGCGUAAAGAGCUCGUAGGCGGUUUGUCGCGUCUGCUGUGAAAACCCGAGGCUCAACCUCGGGCCUGCAGUGGGUACGGGCAGACUAGAGUGCGGUAGGGGAGAGUGGAAUUCCUGGUGUAGCGGUGGAAUGCGCAGAUAUCAGGAGGAACACCAGUGGCGAAGGCAGAUCUCUGGGCCGUAACUGACGCUGAGGAGCGAAAGCAUGGGGAGCGAACAGG
rnacentral:rRNA from 1 species